UACGGAAGGCAGCAGUGGGGAAUAUUGCACAAUGGGCGCAAGCCUGAUGCAGCCAUGCCGCGUGUAUGAAAAAGGCCUUCGGGUUGUAAAGUACUUUCAGUCGUGAGGAAGGUGUUAAGGUUAAUAACCUUAGCAAUUGACGUUAGCGACAGAAGAAGCACCGGCUAACUCCGUGCCAGCAGCCGCGGUAAUACGGAGGGUGCGAGCGUUAAUCGGAAUUACUGGGCGUAAAGGGCACGCAGGCGGUUAAUUAAGUUGGAUGUGAAAUCCCCGGGCUUAACCUGGGAAUGGCAUUCAAGACUGGUUAGCUAGAGUCUUGUAGAGGGGGUAGAAUUCCAUGUGUAGCGGUGAAAUGCGUAGAGAUGUGGAGGAAUACCGGUGGCGAAGGCGGCCCCCUGGACAAAGACUGACGCUCAUGUGCGAAAGCGUGGGGAGCAAACAGGGAUUAGAUACC
rnacentral:rRNA from 1 species